AUGUUCCAGCUGGUUUUAGAAAAGGCAGAGGAAGCAGAGAUCAAAUGGCCAACAUCCACUGGAUCAUGGAAAAAGCAAGAGAGUUCCCGAAAAAACAUCUAUUUCUGCUUUAUUGACUAUGCCAAAGCCUUUGACUGUGUGGAUCACAAGAAACUGUGGAAAAUCCUGAAAGAGAUGGGAUUAGCACACCACCUGACCUACAUCUUGAGAAACCUAUAUGCAGGUCAGGAAGCAACAGUUAGAACUGGACAUGGAACAACAGACUGGUUCCAAAUAGGAAAAGGAGUACGUCAAGGCUGUAUAUUGUCACCCUGCUUAUUUAACUUAUAUGCAGAGUACAUCAUGAGAAACACUGGACUGGAAGAAACACAAGCUGGAAUCAAGAUUUCCGGGAGAAAUAUCAAUAACCUCAGAUAUGCAGAUGAUACCAACCUUAUGGCAGAAAGUGAAGAGGAACUAAAAAGCCUCUUGAUGAAAGUGAAAGAGAAGAGUGAAAAAGUUGGCUUAAAGCUCAACAUUCAGAAAACGAAGAUCAUGGCAUCUAGUCCCAUCACUUCAUGGGAAAUAGAUGGGGAAACAGUGGAAACAGUGUCAGACUUUAUUUUUGGGGACUCCAAAAUCACUGCAGAUGGUGACUGCAGCCAUGAAAUUAAAAGACGCUUACUCCUUGGAAGAAAAGUUAUGACCAACCUAGAUAGCAUAUUGAAAAGCAGAGACAUUACUUUGCCAACAAAGGUCCAUCUAGUCAAGGCUAUGGUUUUUCCAGUAGUCAUGUAUGGAUGUGAGAGUUUGACAGUGAAGAAAGCUGAGCACCAAAGAAUUGAUGCUUUUGAACUGUGGUGUUGGAGAAGGCUCUUGAGAGUCCCUUGGACUGCAAGGAGAUCCAACCAGUCCAUUCUGAGGGAGAUCAGCCCUGGGAUUUCUUUGGAAGGACUGAUGCUAAAGCUGAAACUCCAGUACUUUGGCCAUCUCAGGAGAAGAUUUGACUCACUGGAAAAGACUCUGAUGCUGGGAGGGAUUGGGGGCAGCAGGAGAAGGGGACGACAGAGGAUGAGUUGGCUGGAUGGCAUCACCGACUUGAUGGACAUGAAUUUGAGUGAACUCCAGGAGUUGGUGAUGGACAGGGCGGCCUGGCGUGCUCCGAUUCAUGGGGCCGCAAGGAGUCGGACAUGA
rnacentral:lncRNA from 1 species